ACAACCAUAACAUUCAAAUUUAUUUUGCAUACUUAGUCAUUCAUACUAAUACUUUUUAUACUUAGUCAUUCAUACUAAUACUUUUUAUUUCAAUUCCCUAUACAUGCCAUAUAAAUCCAAAAAGUUGUUUAACAAAAUCUACCGGAGUAAAUCUGGAUAGUGUGAUCGUUGAUGUAGAUCCGAUCCUCCGAACGUAUAUAUAUAUCAAUCUACAAGAAACAUUAAACACACACAAGUAAGCUUAUGGAAGCUUAGUAAGUUCAUAGGCUCAUAAUAAAAUCUUACCACAAUUUCACUAACAAUAUUAAUAGACAAAUAAAAAUUUAACACUUCCUGCCAGUAUGGUUUUCUUCACUGAAACACCAUACCUACUUUUCACAACUCAGUAUGGUUUUCUUCACUGAAACACCAUACCUACUUUUCACAUUUUUCCAUGGAGCCACAAUGGACUUAUCCGUCAAUUCGUCACUGAUUGUCGAACGUAUGUACUCAAUCCUGCUGAUCCCUUAAUUUGAACUAACAAUCUCAUUUUAUUCUCAUUUUUACCAUACUCAUAAUUCAACAACAAUAGACAAAUUGAUACAUUAUAUCAUUUCCACAUUAACAAUUAAUCAUAAAAAUUCAGCCAUAUGAACUUACCUGGGUCAAUUUGCUGAAUUCGUAAAAGUUCAGGGACUAAUCAGCUACUUUUUCUUUUCCUCGACUUGUUUCAGGUUCUCGAUAUGGUGUAAAAAUAUGAAAACCUAGCUUUCUUCAGACCUCCUAUGGCGUUUUUGC
rnacentral:lncRNA from 1 species